ACGCUGGCGGCGUGCUUAACACAUGCAAGUCGAACGAUGAACCGCUUUCGGGCGGGGAUUAGUGGCGAACGGGUGAGUAACACGUGGGCAAUCUGCCCUGCACUCUGGGACAAGCCCUGGAAACGGGGUCUAAUACCGGAUAUGACUGUCCAUCGCAUGGUGGAUGGUGUAAAGCUCCGGCGGUGCAGGAUGAGCCCGCGGCCUAUCAGCUUGUUGGUGAGGUAGUGGCUCACCAAGGCGACGACGGGUAGCCGGCCUGAGAGGGCGACCGGCCACACUGGGACUGAGACACGGCCCAGACUCCUACGGGAGGCAGCAGUGGGGAAUAUUGCACAAUGGGCGAAAGCCUGAUGCAGCGACGCCGCGUGAGGGAUGACGGCCUUCGGGUUGUAAACCUCUUUCAGCAGGGAAGAAGCGAAAGUGACGGUACCUGCAGAAGAAGCGCCGGCUAACUACGUGCCAGCAGCCGCGGUAAUACGUAGGGCGCAAGCGUUGUCCGGAAUUAUUGGGCGUAAAGAGCUCGUAGGCGGCUUGUCACGUCGGUUGUGAAAGCCCGGGGCUUAACCCCGGGUCUGCAGUCGAUACGGGCAGGCUAGAGUUCGGUA
rnacentral:rRNA from 1 species